rnacentral:tRNA from 1 species
GCAGAUGUGGUGGAAUGGCAGACACGCACGCUUGAGGGGCGUGUGGGCGAAAGCUCGUGUGGGUUCAAAUCCCAUCAUCUGCA